rnacentral:lncRNA from 1 species
AUUUAAAUCAGUAAAAGUUUUAUAAAAGGAAAAUGAAGAGAAAAAAAACUGAGAAAUAGAGUCUCCCCUGGCCAAGGUCAUUUUUCAUUUAUUGUUCUUAUCUCUUUUGGAGAACCAUUUGGACCUAUUUAUAUCUGAAGUCGAAAUCUUUCAAGAUCAUAUCCUAACAAACUUGAGGUCGUUGAUAUGAUAAUCUUGGGGACGUGCCACAACAACCUGGCAUGUGGCAGGACAAAGCAUAUCUUUGAGGCAAUAAAAGCCAAACUGCUCUAUUACCAAAAAAAAAAAAAGCCAAACUGCUCCUGUGGAAAGGCUUAGCUUAGCAUGUGUCAGCAGUCAAGGUUGUAGGACCAAGCUGGAAGGAGAUCAAUCUCAGGCAUUAGAUGGUUAUUCUGCCCUACUUGGUCUGCCCUCCACGUCUGAGGAGACCGGGUGCCUCGAGGAACUUCCAAAGAUGUGGACCACUGCAAGGCAUGGGUGCUGGAUGAAUGCUUGUGCACCGCAUCACACUAGUCAAUAGUUGCCACAACACCAACUCCCCACUUCCAAGAAUACAGCAACGCCUUAGUUUGGGCGAAGGAAGUAACUAACAUUAGACUUUGUACUGCUCCAAAAAAAGAUGCAGAUUCAUGGGUUGCAAAUUCUUUUAUCGAAUGGUUAAAUUCUAUCCUUUGGUCUUCCAAAAGGAUGCCAAUUGUCACAAGAAAAAAGAGUGACACAUGCCAACCGGUUCACUCAUAUGAAUCAAUAUAGAUUGUCAAAUUUCCUAUAAGAAUAUGGGGAAUGGCUUCUCGAGAUUAAGUUGCAGGCUUAUUUAUGACCUCUCUUUUCUUUUCUUUCUAGGGGGUCCAAUCCUUUUUUAAUCUUCUCCCUCUUCUCUCAACUGUAAAAUGGUGUUCUUAUGGAUCCUUUGCGAGGAGGAGGUCUUUGUCAACAUAUUGAGGUAUUCCAGAUAGCUCUUCAAUGGACUAUGGAGAAGGUGGCUAAACUGGAAUCCAGGCUAGGGUUACAUGGCCAAGGUGGCCAAGGUUUGAGCUUCUAGGAUCGGUAGAGAAUGUUGAAGGUCAGACAACAAGUUGCUACCACUGGGAGAAAAGCCCUCCAACUGGUUGAAGAAUACAAGUCGCGAGUCAAUUUCCAACAAGAGAUCGUUGAUUCAUUCCGACAGGACUUCUGAGAAUAUCAAAUGGAAACUACUAGACUUCAGCCAAACAUCAUUUGUUAUGCUUCUUAGCUGGACUCAUCUAAAGAAAAUGUGGGAUUCAUCAGAUGAGCACCCUUCACCGAGGCAUACCGAGUAGACCUUUGGAUGGGUCUCCCUUUGGGGCUUCGGGACAAGGUUUCAGUAUAUGUACUAGCAUAUAGGCUCUAUAGAAAAAAAAUAAUAUUAACUGAUAUAAAAUCAUGUUAAUAAAAAAAAAUAAUACAAAACAAUGCUAACAAAUAAAAAUGUUAUAGCAUCAUGUUAACAAAGGAAAAUAUUAUGGUUGUCAUAUAAUUCUUAAAAUCUCGUGAUCAUCUAUUAUCAUAUGAUCACUUAAAAUCAUCUGAAGACUUUCUAUCAAACUCGAGAUGGUAUACUAUAGGUUCCAACUUGAGUUUUAAAACUAGAUCACGAAUGUACUCAAAAGCUAGCAUAAUAAACUGAUAUGUCUGCUGGUAUGAUUGUUUUAAAUGAUGUGACUAUGAAAAGACAUAAAAGAUAUUCAUAAUAGGAACUUAUGCUACCAAAGUAUGGUUGAAACCAAAUUAUAUAUUCAAGCUUAAAACAGCUAGCUCAUGCAUAUGUAUAAAUACAUCCUUAUCCUAAAUCAAAUUUAGUAACGGAGACCAGGGCAAGAAAUUAUUUGGUAAGAGUUGGUAUUAAUCUUUUCCACUCUAGAUGCCAUGUACUUAAAACCAACCCACGAGCUGUUGUUUUUUUAUUAAUUAUUUCUAAAAUAUAAUAUAGAAUAUAUAUAGUAAGAUAGAUAACAUAAAUAUAAUAUUUUAUAAAAUAAAAAAUAUAUUAAUAAUAUUAUUAGUACUGGUCCAUUUGGUGAAUGGAGAACUGAGCACAAGUUAAGCAUCCAUUUUCACCAUAUAUAGCAGAUAAGAGAUAGACUAAGCUCAGGUCGAUCUAAUUUGAGCUCAAAUCCAGUCGUAUCCUCAAGGGCUUGAUCAAUGUAGAUGUCGAAGCAGCACUAAAAAGCUAAUGGAGGGAGUUUGGGAGCUAUUUGGCUGAGCCGGCAUUAUUUAAAAAAAAAGAAAAGUCAUAAAUGAGAGGUGGGAUUCUAGUGGCUUUUGUUUGGAUGAGAUGGUGGUUGAAGAAAAAUAAGACAAUGUCUUAAUGGAACAGGAAAGGAGAAGCCACUGGUUGUAAACUUCUUGUUUGGAUGAGAUUGCAUUUGAAAAUAAUAAAAAAAAUAUAUAUGUUAAUGAGGAUGAGACACGAAAAGUGAUGUCAUCUCUUUCAAAUAGAAUUUUUUCCUCUCUCACCAACAAAACACAUUUCAUUCUCUCUUUUUAUUUCUCGCCAGCAGAAACUUCUCUCCCACUCUCUCUUCGGUGCAAAUACCUUGCCGACAAAAACUUCUCUUCCUCUCUCUCUAGUGCAAAAACAUCUCAUUCUCUCUCUCCAGCUCUCUCUCACCGACAUAAACUCCUCUUAUUCUCUCUCUCUCUCUCCCUCUCUCUUACAAGAUGAUUGCAAACACCUCUCAUUCGCUCUCUUUCUAAAUUUUCUCUUCAUCUCUCUCUCAUCAAAACCAUAAUCCUCCUCUCAUUCUCUCUUCUUUGAAACUAUCCAUCCGAGAUACCUCCUUCCUCUCUCUUCAUCUCACCAGUUGUCGGAAUCUUUUGUUCUUCGCUAAUUAAGUGCAAGGUACAUCUUAACUAUCAUUACUUAUUAGAGGCUAAAUAUUUCAUUGAGUGUAUAAAAUAUUAUAUAUAUGAUAUUCCAAAAAAUAAGUAUAAGACAAUAAAUUAAAUUUCAUAACAUAAAUUCUUUUGCCUAUAAAUGAUCAAACAACAUUUUAGUGAUAGUUACAUGCUCAUAAUUAUUGUUCUACAUAAGCUAGUAGUUGUGUAUUUUAGUAGCUAGUUUUUAUAUUAUUGACUGUAUUUGAUAUUAAACCUUAUAUUAACAUAGAAGAAUGAUAUUCUCUAUUAAUUAGAUCCUUCUAUAUUAUUAGCCUUCAUGUUUGUUACUAUUAUAUGUUAAGAACGCUUACUAGUAUACAUUAAAGAAAAAUCUACUUAAAGAACAAAGUAUUAUAGACGAGAGUCGUACUCAGUUUCAAUAGUUAUGAUACAGUGUAACGAAGCUGAAAAAAUAAAUGAUAAUUAUGUCAUAUUUAAAGAUCUUCUACUUUCUAACUAUAAUAUCAUAAAAAGUUCAGUAGGUUCAAGCACCCAAUGAAGGUUACAGCAAAAAAAAUAACGAACAUGCAAGAAAUAUCAUCGAAAGGGUCAUAAUAUCUGAACAUACAAGGUGAAUGUUACUAAAAGCUAUAUCUUCAUAAUUAAUUUUUAUAUAUUAUAUUUUGAUAGAAUCUUUUUCUUAUGACUUACUCGAUGGUUAUACUUUAUGUAGGGAGAUGAUUUCGAAGCCUACAUCAAUGGCGGUUCAUUUAAGAAAGAGAAAUUCAAUGACCAUAGAGACUCAUUAGUGUUUUAGAUUAUAUAUUUAUAAUUUUAUAAGGAUGAGCACUAUUUUGACUUGAAUAGGUGUUAUAUGUCAAUAAUGUAUAUAAUUGUUCAAUCAUUAAAAUAUAAAUAUAUGGUUGUACAUAGUUAUGAAUGAAUGUAUUGCUCCUAUGCAAUGAUAUGAUUUGUUCUGCUCGAUUUUGUACAUUUAAUAUCACAUUGAUGAUUAUGAACUUUAGAUAUUUACUCUUUAUAAUAGAUAAUGCAAAGUGAAUUUAGCACAAACUAACCCAUGUUAAGAAAUCUUUUUAAUUAAUUUGAGUGUUAUGUUUCAUAUGACUUACUGGUGCAGGGAGAUCAUUUCAAAGCCUAUAUUAGUGGUGAUUUAUUUGAGGAAGAGCUAUUGACGAUCAUAUAGGCUCAUCAGUGUUUUAGAUUAUUUGCUUAUAAUUUUGUUAUGAUAGACCUAUUUUGACUUAGGUACGUGUUAUAUAUAUGUAAGUGAUAUAUAUGAUGUUUAGUCAUUAAAAAGUAAAGAUAUAUGGUUGUAUAUUGUUCUGAAUGAAUGUAUUACUCUAUUAAACUCUACUUUUCAUAAUAAAUAGAAACUCUCCAUGAUAAAUAUAAAAUUUUCUCCUAAAUAGUUGGUUCAUUCAAAAGGUAUCCAAUAGGAUAAACAAUAAGAGAGGAGGAUAAAUGCUAACUUCUGAUAGAAUAAUCACAAACUAUGCGAGGAUAAAUACAAACUCCAUAUAAUAAAUACAAAUAUAUCCAAGAUAAAUAUAAAUUUUGGGAGUUACUCUCUGUCUUAUAUGAGACUAUGGUAGAAAAACAUAAACUAUCCUAGAAUAAACAUAAACUCCAUAUAACAAAUAGAAUAUAAUAAAUAGAAACUCUAUGGUGAUAAAUACAAGCCAUGCCUAAUAAAUACAAACUCAAGGACUAAACCUUAGGUCAUCCAAGAGUUCUCCUAGGAUAAAUAAUAAGAGAGAAGGAUAAAUACUAAUUUUUGAUGAAAUAAACAUAAACUAUAUGAGGAUAAAUAUAAACUCUAGAUAAUAAAUACCAAUAUGCCUGGGAUAAAAAAAAUUUUGGGAGUUGCUCUCUGUCUUAUAUGGGACCAUGGAAGGAUAAAUACAAACUAUACCAAAAUAAACAUAAACUCCAUAUAAUAAAUAAAAGCUUUAUGAUGAUAAAGAUAAAUUAUCUAAAAUAAAUACAAACUUGAGGAUCAAAUCUUAAGUCAUCCAAAGGUCCUCUUAAGAUAAACAAUAAGAGAAGAGAAUAAACACUAACUUCUGAUGUCAUAAACAUAAACUAUACAAGGAUAAAUAUAAAUUUCAUAUAAUAAAUAUAAAUAUGCUUAGGAUAAAUACAAACUUUGAUGGAUGCUCUCUAUCUUGUAUAGGACAAUGGUAGGAUAAACACAAAUUAUUUCAGAAUAAAUACAAACUUCAUAUAAUAAAUAGAAACUCAAUAUAAUAAACACAAAUCCUACUAUAAUAAAUACAAACCAUCUAAAAUAAACAAAAUCUCAAUGAUUUUUGGAAGUCAAAUUUGUAUUUAUUCUAGACGAUUUGUGUUUAUUGCUAUAGAGUUUGUAUUUAUUAUAUGAAGUUUCUAUUUAUUAUAUGAAGUUUGUAUUUAUUCUAGGAUAAUUUAUGUUUAUCUUGUCAUAGUCCCAUACAAGAUAAAGAGCAACCCACAAAGUUUAUGUUUAUCCUGAGAAUAUUUGUAUAUAUUAUAUAAAGUUUAUAUUUAUUCUAUCGAAAGUUAGUAUUUAUCCUCUUCUCUUGUUGUUUAUUCUAGGACGAUCCUUAAAUGAAUAAAAUUUUGAUCUCUGAGUUUGUAUUUAUUUUGGCUAAUUUAUGUUUAUUAUCAUAGAAUUUAUGUUUAUUAUAUAAAAUUUUUAUUUAUUAUAUGAAGUUUGUGUUUAUCUUGUCAUAGUCCCAUAUAAGAUAAAGAGCAACCCCCAAAAUUUAUGUUUAUCAUGGGCAUGUUUAUAUUUAUUAUAUGGAGUUCAUAUUUAUCCUCACAUAGUUUGUGUUUAUUCUACAAAAUGUUGGUAUUUAUCUUCCUUUCUUGUUGCUUAUUCUGAGAGGAUCCUUGAAUGAACAAAGUUUUGGUUCUUGAUGAGUUUGUAUUUAUUUUAAAUGGUUUGUUUUUAUCAUCAUAGAAUUUGUGUUUAUUAUAUGAAAUUUAUAUUUAUCAUAUAGAGUUUAUGUUUAUUUUGGAAUAGUUUAUAUUUAUUCUGCUAUGUUCCCAUACUAGAUAAAGAGUAACCCUCAAAAUUUAUGUUUAUUUUAGAUAUAUUUAUAUUUAUUAUAUAAAAUUUAUAUUUAUUCUUACAAAGUUUGUAUUUAUUCCAUCAGAAGUUAGUAUUUAUCAUUCUCUCUUAUUGUUUAUCCUAGGAGGACUGAAGUUGAUCCCUGAGUUUGUAUUUAUUCUGGAUAAUUUAUAUUAAUCAUCAUAAAAUUUAUGUUUAUUAUAUAGAGUUUCUAUUUAUUAUACAGAAUUUAUAUUUAUUCUGUAAUAAUUUAUAUUUAUGCUAUCAUGGCCCCAUAGAAAAUAAUAUCACAACUUUCUACGUUUGUGUUUAUUAUUGGGCUAUUCAUAUUUACUUUAGAAAGUUUGUGUUUAUUUCUAUCAAUAAUUUAUAUUUAUCAGUCUUUCUAUCAUGGGAUGACAUAAAUUUAUGAAUGAAUAAGAUUAAAACUCAAAAACAAUCAUAAACAGAGUUUGAAUGACAACUGACAUGCCAGUGAUUUCAAAAUCCUAAGUGCAGUACAACAAAAAUCACUCCUUAGAGAUAAGCAUAAGCUGACCUAUUAUAACUUCAAACACAAAUUUACAUAGAAAAUAAUAAUCACACUAAUUGCAUAACUAAAAAUUAGAUGAUCUGUUAAUAAAUAUGGUAACAACAACCUAUCAACAAGUUCAAAGACCCACAGAAAAUAAAUUCAUAUAACAUCAAAUCCAUUGUAGCAAUCUAGAAAUGAUACAAUUAAUUCACCUAUUACAAAAUAUAUUCAUAUAUGGAAAUAAUAGUUCCAUGGCUGCAAUUAAAUUUUCAUUGUAGCAAAAAAGGUUCAUACAAGUUUAUUCACAAUUCAACUCAAUAUUUUGACACAAUAUAAAUAUCUUAUCAAUGUACACAAAUAAUGAGUGGAGCCAACACACAUAUGCUCACAAAACUAACAUAAAAUAAACUAUGAUGAUUUCACUUGGUGAUUCUUCAUGAUCAUCUAUGCAACAUACUUGGCACGCAACUCUAGCAUAGGAGUAUUCAUAAUUGUGAUCCAAGCCCCCAUCACCAUACUCUUCAUAAAAUGCAUGAUGUAGAUGGCAAUCAGGUCUACAAAUUAAGGCAUGCUCAUAUUCAAUAAAAAAAUAAAUGGCACACUGCAUUAGUUGGCAUGGAUGUGUUUUGGCACAUAAGGGGCUGAAAAUUAGAAAAUACGAUUUUUCUAAUAACAUAAGGGGCAUAAUACAUUAUUUGACAUGGUGCAAUAGUUGGCACAAGCUAUUUUUGGCAUGGACCAUUAGCUAGCAUAGUGUAUUAGUUGGCAUAGAUAUGAUUCGGUUGGAAACAUUACUCAUUUUCAUAUAUAAAUUUAUUUAUAUUUGAUUCUUAUUAGAAAGGAUGUCUUACAAAUUCAACCUUAUUGAUUCAUAGGAGGUUCUAUGUUCUUAUUUAAUUGAAAAGUGCUUAGAUAUUCCACAAAGAUGGCCAUAGUUGGAGAAAGAAAAAAGAUAGAAAGACUGUUAGAGAAGCUCAUCAAAAGCUAAAGGUAAGAUGAUCUUCUUCUAGAUGAUUAUAUAUCACAGUAUUAUCAUGGGUCUUCUUCUAUAUGUUUAAUAUAUCUCAAUAUUAUUAUGGAUUUCUGUAACAAGUUUCAGUAUAUGAAAAAUAUGUUUAAGUGUGAGGAAAACACUGAUGCAAGAGUAUAAAGGACAUAUUAAAUGCUAAGUGUGUAAGGUCAGAUAUCUAAUGGCAGUGAACUUUGAGAAGCAGGUGUUAUUUCUCCUAAUUUUUUAGCAUUAGUUUUAUGUUAAGUGAUGACACAUAUGCUGAAUUCCAUCUGUUUGAUGAUUAUGUCAAUUUUACUCUAUGUGUGUGUGUGUGAGUUUUGUGCAUGCAUGUGGUUAUGUUUGUGUUUCAUUUGAUACACAACCAUGAUCUUUGGCAAUAUACUAGUUGGCACAUUCAUGCCUUUCUAAACUAACUUCAUCUAGUAUUGAAUGAAUGGAUGAAAACAGUGGGUAAAUAAUAAUGAAUAGUAUCACAGUUGGUAUAUGCAUGGCUCUAACAGAAACUGCUAGGUAAACUAAAAUAUCAAAAAUAUAUAAUCUACCAAUAUAAGAAAAAAUUUUUAUAAGUAUGUAAUAUCUUUGGAUGAAGUCAGAUGCUAGUGUGGUAGGAGAAAUCCAUUAAGUGUCAGAACUGGACUGGCAGUAGUGGGUUGGUGGUGGUGGGGUGGUGGCAGAAGACCCAAGAAAAAGGUCUGAUGGUGGUGUGCUGGCAGUGCAAGACUCAAGAAAAAAGUACGACGAUGGUGGGGUGGGGUUUGGGAAGUCCCAAGAAGGCCGACGAUGCACUACAAUAAAAUUGAUUUUUAACGGCAAAUUGCUGGUAGUAUUUCUUAUUAUAUGUCGCUAAAAUUCUAUAGUAUUUUGAUAAAAAUACCAUUAUCUUUCAAUAAGUAUUUUUAUUAAUGGUAUUUUAUCAUAAAUGCUGCUAUAAAUUUAUAUUUUAUGAUAUUUUAUUAUAAUACUACUGUAAAUUUAUAUUUUUAUGGUAUUUAAUAAAUAUACCAAUAAAUAAUAGCAUAAUUUAUAGAAUUUUAAAAAAUUAUCAUUAAAUUUUAAAUUAUUAAUUAUAUAUAAAGCUUGAUUUAGUCAUACUGAUCUCAUAAAAUAUGUUAUUAUACAUAUAUAUUCUUUGUUAAAUGUAUGAUCUGAAAAGUCAAUUGUUGGCUGACACAUUACAAUUUUUAAGAUCUAUUUUUAUACUUGAUUUAUUGAAAUUAAUAAAAUGAUAUUUUCUUAUCCAUUCUUGUGUAAUGUGUAUGUGAAUCAUCCAAGGAGUUAAUGGACAACGACAAAUAUUCUUAAGAGUUAAAAAUUUGAGACAUGUGUCAUUAUAGAUUAACUCCUGAAUUACUUUUGAUCAUUUAAUUAUCAUGGGUACAGUGAUGGAUCCAUCAAGAUCAGUACACAGAUCGCUUCUUUUUUAAAUAGAUAAGUCUCGAGUCUACAGUAUGAAGAUACUAGAGUGACAGUACAAGUGGUUGUUAGAGAACAAUGAUACUGAGUAUGAUCAAAAAUGAGAAGUCACUUAGAUGUCUAUUCACUCAUUAGUGACUGUCUCGAUGCUGUAGUUGUUGAGUAGUUCUUUGACCUAUGGUGCCUCGACUGCUCAUAGUAGAGUUGCUAUAGUUUGACAACACAUAAACAUGCUUCCUAGCCAUUCGGAGCCUUGUGAUGUUCGUUGGCUGCAAUAAGUUCACCGUAAGAGUAGGGUGUGCAUUUGUAGGAGAUCUAUUGGUCUUAGUAGUUGAGGAGUUGUCCAAUGCGAUCUAAGAGGCUGAGUUCUUAAGCCUGUAGCCAUAGUAGUAUGAUAAUAAAAAAAAAUAUUCAUAGGAUUCAUAAUUGGACUCAAACUAAUUAAGUCUUGCAUAUGAUAGAUACUUAGGGUUUGACGAGUUUUCAUGAUCUGCAUCAUGUCGGACUAUCGAUAGAAGAACUAAAUCACACGUUAACUAUAUCUAGAGGUUCUACCUUUAGUUUUAUUGGAUUACCACUAUAUAUUGGUAGAUACUAUUGGUGGAUUGUGAGAAUUCACUAGGAUCAUUCUGGAUUGAUGAUCCUUGAUGGGUAUAAGUUAGAAUUGUUCCAACCUAUUGAAAGGAGUUUCAAUGAUACUAUGAUGGAAAUCAUGGCAUGUCUCGCUAUUAGACAGAAUUGAACCUAUGGGGCUACACACAAAAAGAGGUUGAUUAAGUCAUUUGAUUGGAUCAAGAUCAAAUUAUCAUUUGGAUUGAUGAUUUGGAUCAAUUUGUAAAAGUUACAAAUUUAGUAACUGCUAAUUAUUAGCAUUAGAGGCUUAAUUGUAAAUAUUGUAAUAUUAAUUGGCCAAAUUAAAUUAUAGAUCAAGUUCUAAUUAAUUUAAAUCAGAUUUAAUUUAAUUGGGUUUGAUUUAAUUUGAGGCUAAUUGAGUUUAAUAAUCCAAGUUGGACUUGGAUUCCAAUUCUAAUUGGAUUAGGAUUGAUAAUCUUUUUGAAUUGGAUUCAAAUCAGAUUCGAAUUAGAUUCGAACCAAACCCAAAUUGAUCCUAAACCUCACCUAAUUGGAUUAGGUUAAGAGGAUCUCAGUUUGACUAAGAUUUUCUCUCCUUUUUAGCGUGGAAAAGGGGAGAAGGCGGCAUCCUUCUCCGAGCGCAUGUGGAAAAAGGAGGGGCGCCAACUAUUAGCACCCUAUCCUUUUGAGAUACUCUCUCUAGCUCAAUUUUAAAACUUAAUCAAAUCCUAACUAAUUAGAAUCAGAUUAAGAAUUUGUUUAAUUUAUUUCUCCUUUUUGUGGCAUGGAGAUUGAGGAAGAAUUUGAUUCCUCCCAAGGUUUGGGUGUGGGCCUCCUUGUGGCCGCCCACCCUUGCACCUAUAAGAGGGGUGUUCCACCUCUUGGAUGCCCCAACCAAGUUUUUCAUUAGACUUUCAUGGUAAAAAGGGAAAAAAUCAAAGAGAAAUAAGAGAGAAAAAGGAGAGAAAAAAAAAGAAGAGAAAGGGUUCUCUUCUAGUAUCUUCUUCGAGAUCCUGCGCAAAGGUGUUCGUGCAGUUUUCUUCUAUGACAAGAUCCAAUUUUAUAGAGUAGAUCUGAAAGAGACUAGCACCUCGAUGAUAAAAAAGACUUCAAAUUUUCCUCAGUCCUAUGUGGGUAUCCAUAAAGGUUAGAUAAGUGCAUGGCUACAAACAGAAUUAGGAUUCGAUCCAAAUCUAACUUGCAAAUGGAUAGCGAUCCCAAUGUAAGAUUUUAAUCCUCUUUAUUUCUAUUUUCAGAUCUAUAAUCUGAUUUUAUCAUGCAUGUUAGAUCCCUUUUAGGUGAUAUUAGAUGAGAUCUUGGACAUGCAAUAAGUUAAAAUUUUUAAUCUAUGCUUUUCGCUUCAUUUUCAUGAGAUGAAAAAAAUUCUACAUACUGAAAUCACCGAAGUCCAACAUUCUUAACAUUGCUUAUCUAAUGACGUGAAUGUAUAUUAAUAAGUUAAAUAAAUGAUACUUAUAUAUUAAUAAUAUAAGUUAUAGAUUGAUAGUUAAGAGCUUGCUAUUCAACAAAUUUGUAUCGAUAUUUUUUAAAAAUAUCGAUAAUUAAUUGCUAAUAUUAUCUUAAAACAGUACAUAAGAAAAUAUCAUAAAAAUGCUGCUAAAGAUAUUUAUGGUAUUUUUUCUGAUCUAUAGCGAUACUUAAACAUGCCAUUAAUGGUCAUUUUUGUCGUAGUAACAGGAGGUCGCAGUCACCGGGUCUGCGGAAGAGUCGUUGGUGGUGGGAUUAAGAGAGGAUAGUGGAGGGGUGGAUGAUUUGGGAGGAGAGGAGGAUGCCAGAUGGAUGGGGGGUUUUGGGGAAGAGGAGGAGGGCCAAUAGUUGGAGGGUUUUGGGGAAGAGGAGAGCAAACGAGUCAAGGGGUUUGGGAGGAGAAAAAGAUAGUGGCUAAUGGGUGGGGUAUUUGGGUGGAGAGGAGGGCCGAUGGCUGAGGGGUUUGUGGGGAGAGGAGGGUGGAUGGAUCGGGGUUUGGGAGGAGAGAAAGAUGGUGGCUAAUAGGUGGGUGGUUUGGGAGGAGAGAAGGAUGGCGGCCAAGGGGGGCUUGGAGGAGAGGAGGAUAGCAACUUAGGAGGAGAGAAAGAUGGCAAGCUAGAGAGAGAGAAGAGAGGAGGAUGACAGCUUGGGAGGAGAGGAGAACCAUGAUCUCCUUUGGAGAGAGAGAAAGGAGAGAGAAUCGAGGACGGCGGGUUGGGAGGAGAAGAGGAUAGUCGACUUCUUUGGAGAGAGAAAAAAAAGAGAGGAGCCAUUUGAAAUGACGGAUCUGCCCGCGAGUCCUAUCCCUCAUUCAUGACUUCUCUUUUUUUUUUAAACAAUGCCAGAUUAGCCAAACAGCACCAAAACCCCCUCCAUUAGCUUUUUAGCACUGCAUUAAGAUUCGUGCCAAUCCAACGGCUUGGGAUUUGAUUGGAUUUGGGCUCAAAUCUAACAGCCGGGGACUUGAUUGGAUUUAGGCUCAGAUCCGAUCGAUCUAAGCCCAGUCUAUCUUUAAUAGAUAAUAUAUAAAAUAUAUAAUAAAUUAUAUAAUCAAAUAGAAUAUAUAUAUUGACUUUAUUUAUUAUCCAGAAAUAACAUCCACAUGGGGAAUGAAAAGAUCUGCACUAUCACACACACACACAUAUAAUAGAUAAUAAAUUAUUUAAUAAAAUAGAAUAGAUAUUAUAAGAGCAUUUUUAUUAUCUAAAAUAAUGAUAAUAUUAAUGAUAUCAUUAAUAUAGGUACCCACAUGAUAAAUAAUGGAGAGCUCUAUACAAGGAGCACCUUUAUUUUAGUUUAUAUAUAUAUAGAUAUAUAUUGGUAUAUAUUGAUAUCUUUAGAUAUAUAUAGAUGUUAUUGUUGCUAAUCCAGAAAUAUCAAUGUGGUUUGCAUUUGUGAACCUGCAAAAUGACAAACAAAAGGGUGAAGGCUCGUCGGAUUAGGGGUUGGGUCUUCUAAUAUUUAAAUCAUUAAAGGUUUUAUGGAUGGAAAAUGAAAGAGGAAAAAAGAACAAAAAAUAGAGGAAUAGAGUUUCCCCUAACCAAGGUGAUUUUUCAUUUAUCGUCAUUACCUCUUUUGGAGAACCAUUGGAACAUAUUUAUAGCUAGUCCAAAUUUUUCAAGAUCUUAUCCUAACAAACUUGAGGUCAUUGAUAUAAUAAUCUUGAGGACAUGCCACAACAACCUGGCACG